UCUGACUGCCCCCCUGGGUAGGCCAAAACCAAGUUUAAGCCACCAUUGGUACAUAUAAGGUGCAGGAAGUGACACAAAGAACUGCCUUUAUAUUUCGCAGUCACUUCCUGUGAGGAGGACAUUAUCUUGGAAGUUGACGAUGGAGGAGCUUGGGCUUGAGAUCUCAGACUGCUUCUCCUUGGACUUCCAUGUGCAACUCAAUGAUCUGGGACUAU
rnacentral:lncRNA from 1 species